CAUUCCCUCUGUAUGCUGUGACAGGCAAAUCCGUUUCUGCAAAAUGCACCUUGGAGAGAGCACAGCAGACAACUUUCCUAAAUGAAGGAGAAACAGUAAUGAGUGGUUCUGCAGAGGCUCCCUCACUAGAUGCUCUGAACUGACCCUGACUCACUGCUGGAUGGGGGCUGGCACACUGACUCGUUUGCCUUGUGAAUCUCUUAUCUGUAUUUGAUGUGGUUUGAAACAAGGUCUCAGACAUGGAGAGGGUGAUGGAAGGUCUGCAGGAACACGUGGCAGUGCUGUUCGAGCCACAUCCUGCACAGUCAAGUUGUGCAGCUUCUGCUCAUGCCUCAGGACACCAGAGCUACGAUCAAGUCUGGAAGGAGAUCUAUGAGCUCUACCAGAAGCUGCUGCUUUGACAAGUAUAAAAGCAAGUUCCUGUAUCUGCAUCCUCAUGUUUCAUUUGGCUCCCUCUGCCCAUGUCCACCUGCCUGCACCAGUGGGCUCUGGGGCGAGCGUGCCUGGGGAUCCUGAACUACUUCAGGUCUGUGGAGAGAAGCCUGACCAUCAGUACCGCUGGCCUCUCCUUCAAGGCUGGUCACCUAAUUCCCAGUGCAGAAGACACCUUGGUCUGCUGCCAAAGGAAGCACUGGUGCCUUCAAUGCCCUGAGUUCACAGCUGUAUAUUCACUACACACCAGCGGACUACAAGCACAGGACCACAGCACUCAAUUCACAGAGUUUGCAGAGGUGAAAAACCAUGAUGACUUUUACACUAGUGAAGAAGGAUAUAUUCAUACACAGGACCAGCGAGGGGUUUACAUAAUAUAUGAUGUGGCUUUAGAGGACCUGAAGGAGCUCGAGAACCAGCUGCUGCUUGUGGCCAGCCAGUACAUUAAGAAAGAUAACAGCAAUGUAACUUGUGAGCAAUUCAGUGGCAGCAAGAUCCUUGGCUGGGCAUAUGCCUCUGUGGAUGGAUGUGCUGUGCUGCUUGACCUCUGGACCUGUGAAACUGCCCUCUUGGGAAAAAAAUGCCAGGCCUUCCGUAUAAGGAAACUUGCUUUCUUUUUGGAAGAAAAACUCCCAGUAGAGAAGAAUGAAACCUCUACAGCAACAAUGCACUAGUUCUCUUCCAAACCCAUCAAAGAGUGUAUUCUUGAACUGCUCUCCCAACCCAAGUCUCUAGGCAGGAUUAAAUGUACAGGUGUGCUCUUGCUGAGGGACUUUUAGCUGAAAUGAAAUGGAAGUGGGUCUCGCUAGCUUUGUUUCCAGCUGGGACUGAACUCUUUCUGAAUGAGAAAACAAUAGCCCUUUGUCCAGCAGCUGAUACAGCUUAGCUUAGUCAAUAUAAAACACGCUUAUUGCCUGUUGCUCAAGCACUAUCUUAGCUUCCUCCAGAACAGUUCAGGUCAGGCAGGUGUAAAUCUGAGAACUUGACUGUUUACACUUAAAUCUGAUUUUUCAGCUACCGAGUUACCUCCUAAGCUCUUCUGCAUCUUCCUCUUCCAUAUUCUUCUGCUUUAAGUAUGGAAAGUAAUGUGAAUGUUUUUCUACUUCCACAUCACUGCAAAAUAGCCAGAUUUAGAUCAUUUCGUAUUGACAUGACCAAUUUGUCCAGAAGCAAGAGCACUGGAUGUUCAUGUUUUCAGUCCCCUGAUUGCCAUCUGAACAAAAAGUACUACAAUGUCAUCUCGAGAGUUCAUGUGCUGUCAUUCUUGGUACAUUUCUUUUUCUGUCCUAAGCUGUGGGUAUGUGUAAUUUAAAUUUUUAUUUAAAUAAAACUUUACAGCUAUUCUUGGUAGAGAAGCCU
rnacentral:lncRNA from 1 species